UACAGCAUCAGUAGCUCUCUGAUAGUUCAAGUCGGUGUGAUUGAUCUGGACUACAGCUGCACCAUCAGCGCUGGCAGAAACAAGAGGAGAGCAACUUUGUUUAAACCAGCUUCCAUCAAUAUUUCAGACACUAAAAGCACAAUCCCCUGCACUUCUUCAAACACUCACUUUAAAAGCCUCAUUUGGACAUUCAACCACAAUCAAAACAUCCUGAUCCAGACCUCCGCCGAAGUCCCCUUUAAAGUUUCAGAGGAGUGGAGGAAGCACGUGAAGGAUGUGUCUGAGUCAGGAAGCCUCGUGUUACAAGACUUAACAUCACUUCAGGAGGGAAUAUACACAUGUGAACUUAGUACUGCUGAAGAGACUCAUGAAAGGAGCACAGCGUUGAGGAUAGAAGAAAGUCAAAGCACUCCUACUGUUGCAGGAAUUACAGUUGGGGUUAUAUUCCUUUUGGUUGUAUUAGCCAUUUGCAUCUUCGUCAUAUAUAAGUGGUGUAAAAAGAAAAGUGAAGGUGGUGAAAACAACAGAGAACCAGAAGCUGAAAUCCCAUUAAAGUAAAAUGGUGAACGAAAAACUAAUACAUUUCUAGACCGUGGAACAACAACAGUCAGCCAUGAUGAAGAACAAGACCACAGUUGAUGAAUGUACGCAAAUAUUUAUUAGAGUAAG